rnacentral:rRNA from 1 species
UAUGUAGGGACCGAGCGUUGUCCGGAAUCAUUGGGCGUAAAGAGCGUGUAGGCGGCUCGCUAAGUCUUGCGUGAAAUCUCGGGGCUCAACCCCGAGCGGUCGUGAGAAACUGGCGGGCUAGAGUGCGGGAGAGGAGAGUGGAAUUCCUGGUGUAGCGGUGAAAUGCGCAGAUAUCAGGAAGAACACCCGUGGCGAAGGCGGCUCUCUGGAACGCAACUGACGCUGAGACGCGAAAGCGUGGGGAGCAAACAGG